rnacentral:rRNA from 1 species
CCUACGGGGGGCAGCAGUGGGGAAUAUUGGACAAUGGGGGGAACCCUGAUCCAGCCAUGCCGCGUGUGUGAAGAAGGCCCUCGGGUUGUAAAGCACUUUCAGUGAGGAAGAACGCCUGGUGGUUAAUACCCAUCAGGAAAGACAUCACUCACAGAAGAAGCACCGGCUAACUCCGUGCCAGCAGCCGCGGUAAUACGGAGGGUGCGAGCGUUAAUCGGAAUUACUGGGCGUAAAGCGCGCGUAGGUGUCUUGAUAAGCCGGUUGUGAAAGCCCCGGGCUCAACCUGGGAACGGCAUCCGGAACUGUCAAGCUAGAGUGCAGGAGAGGAAGGUAGAAUUCCCGGUGUAGCGGUGAAAUGCGUAGAGAUCGGGAGGAAUACCAGUGGCGAAGGCGGCCUUCUGGACUGACACUGACACUGAGGUGCGAAAGCGUGGGUAGCAAACAGGAUUAGAUACCCCUGUAGUC